rnacentral:rRNA from 1 species
AGAGUUUGAUCCUGGCUCAGAACGAACGCUGGCGGCAGGCCUAACACAUGCAAGUCGAACGGGGACCUUCGGGUCUUACGUGGCGCACGGGUGAGUAACGCGUGGGAAUCUACCCCAAAGUCGGGGAUAACCGCUGGAAACGGCGGCUAAUACCGGAUACGCCCUGAGGGGCAAAGCUUUUGCGCUUUGGGAGGAGCCCGCGUCCGAUUAGCUAAUUGGUGGGGUAAAGGCCUACCAAGGCUGCGAUCGGUAGCUGGUCUGAGAGGAUGAUCAGCCACACUGGGACUGAGACACGGCCCAGACUCCUACGGGAGGCAGCAGUGGGGAAUCUUGGACAAUGGGGGCAACCCUGAUCCAGCCAUGCCGCGUGGGUGAAGAAGGCCUUAGGGUUGUAAAGCCCUUUCGGCGGGGAAGAUGAUGACGGUACCCGCAGAAGAAGCCCCGGCUAACUCCGUGCCAGCAGCCGCGGUAAUACGGAGGGGGCUAGCGUUGUUCGGAAUCACUGGGCGUAAAGGGCGCGUAGGCGGACCACCAAGUCAGGGGUGAAAGCCCUGGGCUCAACCUAGGAAGUGCCCUUGAAACUGAUGGUCUUGAGUCCGGGAGAGGAGAGCGGAAUUCCCAGUGUAGAGGUGAAAUUC